GGGGAGUGAAAUAGAACCUGAAAUUGUGUGCGUACAAGGACUCGGAGCAAGAUUUAUCUUGUGACGGGGUGCUUUUUGUAGAACGAUCCAGCGAGUUAUUUGUUAGUGCAAGCUUAAGUCAAUUGACGGAGGCACAGUGAAAGCGAGGCUGAAUAGGCCGAAAUAGUACUAAUAAAUAGACCCGAAACCAGGUGACCUAACCAUGGGCAGGUUGAAGCGUCUGUAAAAGGACGUGGAGGACCGAAC
rnacentral:rRNA from 1 species